rnacentral:lncRNA from 1 species
AUCAUUUAGGCCGAACGGUUGCAUUUUCUCUUUUUACCAUGGGGAGAUAUCCUUUUAACACUUCUGUUUUUGUACGAAUGUUGCUAGGGGCUCAAUUUCUUUAAACAAGGUGUAGGGCCGAUUGCUUUUCCUUUACAAGUGAUAAUUCCUUUAUUGGUAAGUGUUUAAGUUCUAGUUGUGUUUGUGUGGGAUUAUAUAUUCUUAUGAAUCGAUUAACUAUUUUUGUGAAGGGUAAAGUAUUGGGGAGAAUACGUGGUUUGGAACAAUGAGGGGUUGCGAUUGUUGAUUGGUAAGUAGC